UUGAAACAUUGUAAAGGGAAGUUGAGCUGGCUCUUCUAGAGCAAGUGCUCGCUUUCCUUUCAAUCUUCAUCCACCUGUGCACUUUUUGUAGAGAGUCUGAGAAAUAGGCCUUGUAAAAGAGGCGUUGAGUAUCGGGCUUUCUAUGUUUUACACACUCUUAAUGUAUGUAUGUCUUUGAAUGUCUUUUACAAGGGACUUAAUUGAACCUUUUAAAAACAAUA
rnacentral:misc_RNA from 1 species